UAUCCGCCAGAGAACAACGAGCAAAGCUUAAAACCCAAAGGACUUGGCGGCACUCCACACCACCCUAGAGGGGCCUGUCACAUAAUCGAUAACCCACGAUAAACCUCACCAUUUUUAGCCCCAUUCAGCCUAUAUACCGCCGUCGCCAGCCCAUAUUAAGAGAGGAGACAAAUGGACAUAAUAGUUCUACCGCACUAGCACGACAGGUCAAGGUGUAGCUUAUAAAACGGCAAAUGAUGGACCACAUUGCUAACAAAAGCCACACUAAAAUUGUACUGAAACACACAUUUUUAAGGUGAAUUUAACAGUAAGAUGGGCUAGAAAACCCAUCUAAAGCAUAGCUCUGGAGUGUGCACACACCGG
rnacentral:rRNA from 1 species